rnacentral:rRNA from 1 species
CGCCCUUGAGUUUGAUCAUGGCUCAGGACGAACGCUGGCGGCGUGCCUAACACACGCAAGUCGAGCGAUGAAACCCUUCGGGGUGGAUUAGCGGCCGACGGGUGAGUAACACGUGGGUAACCUGCCUCAAAGAGGGGGAUAGCCUCCCGAAAGGGAGAUUAAUACCGCAUAACAUUAUUUUUUCGCAUGAAGAGAUAAUCAAAGGAGUAAUCCGCUUUGAGAUGGACCCGCGGCGCAUUAGCUAGUUGGUGAGGUAAUGGCUCACCAAGGCAACGAUGCGUAGCCGACCUGAGAGGGUGAUCGGCCACAUUGGAACUGAUAUACGGUCCAGACUCCUACGGGAGGCAGCAGUGGGGAAUAUUGCGCAAUGGGGGAAACCCUGACGCAGCAACGCCGUUUUUUUUGAAGAAGGCCUUCGGGUUGUAAAGCUCUGUCUUCUGGGACGAUAAUGACGGUACCAGAGGAGGAAGCCACGGCUAACUACGUGCCAGCAGCCGCGGUAC